rnacentral:rRNA from 1 species
GAGUUUGAUCCUGGCUCAGGACGAACGCUGGCGGCGUGCCUAAUGCAUGCAAGUCGAACGCAGCAGGCGUGCCUGGCUGCGUGGCGAACGGCUGAGGAACACGUGGGUAACCUGCCCCAGAGUGGGGGAUACCCCGUCGAAAGACGGGACAAUCCCGCAUACGCUCUUUGGAGGAAAGCCAUACGGCGCUCUGGGAGGGGCCUGCGGCCCAUCAGGUAGUUGGUGUGGUAACGGCGCACCAAGCCAAUGACGGGUACCCGGUCUGAGAGGACGACCGGGCAGACUGGGACUGCGACACGGCCCAGACUCCUACGGGAGGCAGCAGCAAGGAAUUUUCCCCAAUGGGCGCAAGCCUGAGGGAGCAACGCCGCGUGGAGGACGACGGCCUUCGGGUUGUAAACUCCUUUCGGGUGGGACGAAGCUGACGGUACCACCAGAAGCAGCCCCGGCUAACUUUGUGCCAGCAGCCGCGGUAAGACAGAGGGGGCAAGCGUUGUCCGGAGUUACUGGGCGUAAAGGGCGCGCAGGCGGUGGGCUGCGUCGGCGCUGAAAGCGCCCCGCUUAACGGGGCGAGGUGCGCCGAUACGAGUCCACUCGAGGCAAGCAGAGGGUGGCGGAAUUCCGGGUGGAGCGGUGAAAUGCGUAGAGAUCCGGAGGAACGCCGGUGGGGAAGCCGGCCACCUGGGCUUGACCUGACGCUGCGGCGCGACAGCGUGGGGAGCAAACCGGAUUAGAUACCCGGGUAGUCCACGCCGUAAACGAUGCCGGCUCGGCGUCUGGCGCACGUUAGUGUGCUGGGUGCCUCAGCUCACGCGUAAGCC